GAUGAACGCUGGCGGCGUGCUUAACACAUGCAAGUCGAACGAUGAAGCCCAGCUUGCUGGGUGGAUUAGUGGCGAACGGGUGAGUAACACGUGAGUAACCUGCCCUUCACUCUGGGAUAAGCGCUGGAAACGGAGUCUAAUACAGGAUACAAGAUUCCACCGCAUGGUGAGUUGCUGGGAAGAAUUUCGGUAAAAGAUGGACUCGCGGCUAAUCAGGUAGUUGGUGAGGUAACGGCAGACCAACGCGACGACGGGUAGCCGGCCUGAGAGGGUGAACGGCCACACUGGGACUGAGACACGGACCAGACUCCUACGGGAGGCAGCAGUCGGGAAUAUUGCACAAUGGGCGCAAGCCUGAUGCAGCAGCGCCGCGUGAGGGACGAAGGCCUUCGGGUCGUAAACCUCUUUUAGCAGGGAAGAAGCGAAAGUGACGGUACCUGCAGAAAAAGCACCGGCUAACUACGUG
rnacentral:rRNA from 1 species